rnacentral:rRNA from 1 species
UACGUAGGGGCUAGCGUUGUCCGGAAUCAUUGGGCGUAAAGCGCGUGUAGGCGGUCCGGUAAGUCCGCUGUGAAAGUCGGGGGCUCAACCCUCGGAUGCCGGUGGAUACUGUCGGGCUUGAGUACGGAAGAGGCGAGUGGAAUUCCUGGUGUAGCGGUGAAAUGCGCAGGAGUAUCAGGAGGAACACCAAUUGCGAAGGCAGCUCG